rnacentral:rRNA from 1 species
GAUGAACGCUGGCGGCGUGCCUAAUACAUGCAAGUCGAGCGAACAGAUGAGGAGCUUGCUCCUCUGACGUUAGCGGCGGAUGGGUGAGUAACACGUGGAUAACCUACCUAUAAGACUGGGAUAACUUCGGGAAACCGGAGCUAAUACCGGAUAAUAUAUUGAACCGCAUGGUUCAAUAGUGAAAGACGGUUUUGCUGUCACUUAUGGAUGGAUCCGCGCCGCAUUAGCUAGUUGGUAAGGUAACGGCUUACCAAGGCAACGAUGCGUAGCCGACCUGAGAGGGUGAUCGGCCACACUGGAACUGAGACACGGUCCAGACUCCUACGGGAGGCAGCAGUAGGGAAUCUUCCGCAAUGGGCGAAAGCCUGACGGAGCAACGCCGCGUGAGUGAUGAAGGUCUUCGGAUCGUAAAACUCUGUUAUUAGGGAAGAACAAAUGUGUAAGUAACUAUGCACGUCUUGACGGUACCUAAUCAGAAAGCCACGGCUAACUACGUG